UGAAAUUCUUUCAAAUGAAAGUUUAGAUCAAUUAUAGAUCGUGUUCUUUUAAAUUACGUUCUGCUUUUUGAUGUUAUAUUUAUUGUACUUAAAUUUCUAUUAUGUUUCAUUUAAGUCUUGACUAGGCUGUUUAGCCUUGAGGAAGCGUAGUCCCGUUUUUAGAGAUCAGUGGUGUCCUAAACAAAUGGCUUUUUCAUCAAAGGAAGAAUGUCGUGUUCCCGUUUGAAAAUAUUGUAAAAUAGUCAUUGGUAAUUAGAUCUGCGCUCUUCAUUUCGUUCAAAUGAAUGGGGGGAAAACCGAAGAAAUUUCGUCCAAUCAUAAUCAUGUUCGUCAUUGGAAGAAAUUUGCAAGCAAACUCAAACAAUUGACGGAUCCAUGGGAGGCUUUUCAUAUUGAUGAAAACUUUCCUGAUGAAAUUGGCAUACGGCAUCGUUAUAACGCAGUAAAGAGAUCCUGGGUCUGUGAUGAGGUUCAUGUGCGCAUGGAAAAACAGCCAUUUGAUCGAGGUGCAAUGAGAGAAUGUUUUCGUAUGAAAAAACUUUCAAACUUUACAAAAACACGGAACUGGAAGCAUGCUGGGAACCAUGUGGCAAAACGUUAUAUUAAUGAAGUGGAUAGAAAAACGUAUUUUGAUGAUGUUGUUUUACAAAUGGAUGCAAAGCUUUGGGGAGAGGAGUAUAAUAGACAUUCUCCUCCUAAGAAGGUUGACAUUCUUCAGAUUUCUGUUUUGGAAAUGAAAAACAGAAAAGAUUCUCCACUCUACCAUAUAGAGCAUUUUAUUGAAGGAAAAUAUAUAAAAUAUAAUUCAAACUCUGGAUUCAUUCAUUCUGAUGAUACAUUAAGAGCAACACCUCAAGCAUUUAGCCAUUUUACAUUUGAAAGAUCCAAUCACAAGAUUAUGGUUGUUGAUAUUCAAGGUGUUGGUGAUUUAUACACUGAUCCUCAAAUACACAGUACAUCUGAUGUUGAUUAUGGGGAAGCUAACCUUGGAACCAGAGGAAUGGCAUUAUUUUUUUCGUCGCAUCGUUGUAAUAAGAUCUGUGAAUCACUGGGUUUAUCUCGUUUUGACUUAAGUGAGUCGGAAAUGAAGCGACUAGAAGACCAAGAUCGGCGUUUGAUGAAUUCCUUAACAAUAAAGAAAGAUAUUGCAUGUUUAUCCAUAUCAAUCCCUCAAGAGCCUAUCUUAUCUCCGCCGUCUACACCAAUUACACCUAAUUCCUGCUAUUCACCGUCGUCUGCUUCUUCACUGGAGUCGUCUGACGAUUAUUUUGGAAAUGGCGAAAUCAACUGUAAAAUUAAAUACGAAGAUACUAUUUCCGUCGUUCCUCGUUCUUCGUCUGUAUCUGUCGAAAAACUAGAAAUGUCAAAACUUAUUGGAAAAUGUGCUCAAUCUGUUUUGGGAGAGAUUCAUUACAUCCUUGCUGAGUUCAAUGAAGUUGGACGAUUCACGAAUCAAGAAAUUCAAGUUGACUCUGCUUUAUUUCAUUUGGAACAAUCUGCAGAUUGCUUUUAUCCUAAAGCUCUCAUUACUUUAGCAAAGAUAUAUCUUCAACUACCCCAUGAUAACCUGUCUUCUUUGACAAUUGAGGAAAGCGGGAAAACAGAUCACGUGGUGUGGAAUGCAUGGAGAACGCCUGCGAUAGCGGUAAUAUUGAAGCAAUGGUAUAUAUGGCGCAUGCGUGGGACACUGGCAUUGGAUUGGUCAACGGAAGGUCGAAAUCGUGGUCUAAAGCUCUUUGUCUCUAUGAAAAUUUGAUUCAAAUACUGGAAAACGACACGAACAUCAACAAUCGUUGAUUGAUCCUCUCUCAAAAUUAUGCUCGCGCGUGGCAGAGAUGUAUCGAGAGGGUGGUGAUGGGAUUGAACGGGACUUAAGAAAAGCCGGAGAUAUGUACAAUAGAGCUGGCGAACAUGCGAUGACUGAAAUGAAAGGAAAGCUUUCGAAUAAAUAUUUCAUUCUUUCGGAGGAAAUCAUCUCUCAACUGGAGGAUGUCGAAUGACGUCAUCAUAUUAUGGAUUCGUCAGAUGAAACAAAAUGUCGUCACUUCUUACUUUGUGCGAGAGCAGGUGGUAAUUGUGGUGCGUUAGGAGUGCGUGUGGAUCUUCGACGACUGCUGACUAUAGGAGGCUGAGCGAGGGAUGGCCUUCGCAUUUCAUUGAGCACGUCAUCGAUAUCCUUUUUGCACCAAAUAUUUUCAAGAAUUUGCACACCAGUGAUGCGAGUUUCCUCAUUUGGAUCGAGCAUUUGACGUAUGAGAUCGCGACAAUCUAAAAUAUCAUUGUAAGACAUACUCCGUUCGCGAAACGCAACUGUCCAUCGAGGAAAAUAUGUCAUGAAUAACAGACCUUUCGUCACGUUUCUUGUGAACAUUAAUUUCUUAGGUGUUCCUUUUUUUACGAACGUUUUUAAUUCAUCAUCUCCGUACGGUAAUCUGGAACAACACAAGGCGUAGAGCACCACACCUACACUCCAAAUGUCUGCUGCAGCACCGUUGUAACUAUCGCCACGUAAUAUCUGAGGACAUGCGUAAGCAAAAGAUCCACAAAACGUCUCCAGUGGUUUUUCUUUAAAAGUACUCGUAGCAAAACCAAAAUCUUAACAUAGAUAUCAUGAAUUAGGUCGUAGAAAGAUCGGAAUUUGUCGUGACGAAUUGAAAUAACCUCCUACCUGAAAGUUUAACUCGUCCUUUAUUAUCCAUUAGUAUAUUCUCCAAUUUUAUAUCGCGAUGAACAACUUUUUCUUGAUGACAAUAAUUCACAGCCAAAACCAACUGUUGAAACAUCCUACGUAUUUCCGCUUCGACUAAAUUAUCACUUUUGUUUAAGUGUUCUAACAAAUCUCCCUUUUCUGCGUACUCCAUAAUGAGAAAAACCUUUGUUUGUGUUUCAAUUACUUCGUAGAAUUUCGUCUUGAACAAAAAAAGAAAUGUUUUAUUGCUAAUUUUAAAUCACGAAGAAAAUAAUCCACGACA